UACAGAGGGUGCGAGCGUUAAUCGGAAUUACUGGGCGUAAAGCGUGCGCAGGCGGUGAUGUAAGACAGUUGUGAAAUCCCCGGGCUCAACCUGGGAACUGCAUCUGUGACUGCAUUGCUGGAGUGCGGCAGAGGGGGAUGGAAUUCCGCGUGUAGCAGUGAAAUGCGUAGAGAUGCGGAGGAACACCGAUGGCGAAGGCAGCCCCCUGGGCUGACACUGACGCUCAGGCACGAAAGCGUGGGGAGCAAACAGG
rnacentral:rRNA from 1 species